CAGACGGAGGACAGUGAGCAGGGUGAGCAGAGGUCCUACACCCAUCCCACCAGGGGACCAUCUCCUCUUGGGAACCACUCAUCCCCUCCCCACGCUAAUGACGUUAAUCAUCAGCCAGUCUAGAAAGGUUAAUGGGCCAUUAGAGGGGGAGGAAUGCUUUCACGAAGUUGGGAAGUGGGCCUUCCUGGGAGUCACAGCAUAAUGGCCGAAAAGGGCUUUGAGGGAGACGUCACCCCUAACCAGGGCAUCCACCCAGCUCACGCCACAGGGCAGGAAAGAGCUUCCUCCAGCACUUCACGAACAGCUGCCCCACAGGAACCAGGUACAGCGGACACCUAACUGGAUCAGAGGAGGACAGUUGGGGAGGUUUCAGAGAAACAGCUCCAGCUUGGGUGAGAACUGCCAUGACGACCUUUCACAAGACAUCCUCAC
rnacentral:lncRNA from 1 species